UACGACCACGUCACGUUGAAACACCGGUUACCGUACGAUCAACGAAGUUAAGCAACGUCUGGCCUGUCCAAUACCUAGAUGGGUGACCUCACUGGAAAUUCCAGGCACUGUAAG